rnacentral:rRNA from 1 species
AGUGGAUGGGGAGCAACCUAGUUGUGCGUGUGUAAAGGUAGUGCCAAGAAAAGCGAUGAUCAUGUUGAAAAUCAAUUCCCGGUACCCGAAACCGACACAGGUGGGCAAGUAGAGAAUACUAAGGGGCGCGAGGUAACUCUCUCCAAGGAACUCGGCAAAAUGACCCCGUAACUUAGGGAGAAGGGGUGCCACCGAGAGGUGGUCGCAGUGAAGAGGCCCAGGCGACUGUUUAGCAAAAACAUAGGUCUCUGCAAACUCGAAAGAGGAGGUAUAGGGGCUGACGCCUGCCCAGUGCCGGAAGGUUAAAGAAGUUGGUCAGUCUUAGGAUGAAGCUAGCGACUGAAGCCCCGGUGAACGGCGGCCGUAACUAUAACGGUCCUAAGGUAGCGAAAUUCCUUGUCGGGUAAGUUCCGACCCGCACGAAGGCGUAACGAUCUGGGCGCUGUCUCGGAGAGAGGCUCGGCGAAAUAGGAUUGUCUGUGAAGAUACGGACUACCUGCAUUUGGACAGAAAGACCCUAUGAAGCUUUACUAUAGCUUGGAAUUGUGUUCGGGCUUCCUGUGCGCAGGAUAGGUGGGAGGCGUAGAAGGUAUUCUUGUGGGGAUACUGGAGCCAACGGUGAGAUACCACUCUCAGGAGGCUAGAAUUCUAACUUAAUUAAGGACAGUUUCAGGUGGGUAGUUUGACUGGGGCGGUCGCCUCCAAAAAGGUAACGGAGGCGUACAAAGGUUCCCUCAUACUGGUUGGAAAUCAGUCGAAGAGUGCAAAGGCAGAAGGGAGCUUGACUGCGAGAAGUACAGUUCGAGCAGGGUGGAAACACGGUCUUAGUGAUCCGACGGUGCUGUGUGGAAGGGCCGUCGCUCAACGGAUAAAAGUUACUCUAGGAUAACAGGCUGAUCUCCCCCAAGAGUUCACAUCGACGGGGAGGUUUGGCACCUCGAUGUCGGCUCAUCGCAACCUGGGGCGGAAGUACGUCCCAAGGGUUGGGCUGUUCGCCCAUUAAAGCGGUACGUGAGCUGGGUUCAGAACGUCGUGAGACAGUUCGGUCCAUAUCCGAUGUAGGCGUGAGAAUAUUGAGAGGAGCCUUCCUUAGUACGAGAGGACCGGGAAGGACGCACCGCUGGUGUACCUGUUAUGAUGCCAAUUGUAAACGCAGGGUAGCCAAGUGCGGAGAGGAUAACCGCUGAAAGCAUCUAAGUGGGAAGCCCACCUCAAGAUGAGUAUUCUGGUGUAAGGUCACGGGAAGACGACCCGUAAAUAGGCACGAGGUGGAAGUGCAGAGAUGUAUGAAGCCGAAGUGUACUAAUAGACCGUCGGCUUGACC